rnacentral:rRNA from 1 species
UACGGAGGGGGUUAGCGUUGUUCGGAAUUACUGGGCGUAAAGCGCACGUAGGCGGGCUGUUAAGUCGGGGGUGAAAUCCCGGGGCUCAACCCCGGAACUGACUUCGUUACUGGCAGCCGUGAGUUCGAGAGAGGUGAGUGGAAUUCCGAGUGUAGAGGUGAAAUUCGUAGAUAUUCGGAGGAACACCAGUGGCGUAGGCGGCUCUCUGGCUCGAUACUGACGCUGAGGUGCGAAAGCGUGGGGAGCAAACAGG